UACGUAGGGUCCGAGCGUUGUCCGGAAUUACUGGGCGUAAAGAGCUCGUAGGUGGUUUGUCGCGUUGUUCGUGAAAACUCACAGCUCAACUGUGGGCGUGCGGGCGAUACGGGCAGACUUGAGUACUGCAGGGGAGACUGGAAUUCCUGGUGUAGCGGUGGAAUGCGCAGAUAUCAGGAGGAACACCGGUGGCGACGGCGGGUCUCUGGGCCGAAACUGACGCUGAGGAGCGAAAGCGUGGGGAGCAAACAGG
rnacentral:rRNA from 1 species